UACGUAGGGUCCGAGCGUUGUCCGGAAUUAUUGGGCGUAAAGAGCUCGUAGGCGGUCUGUCGCGUCUGCUGUGAAAACUCGGGGCUUAACCCCGGGCCUGCAGUGGGUACGGGCAGACUAGAGUGCGGUAGGGGAGACUGGAAUUCCUGGUGUAGCGGUGAAAUGCGCAGAUAUCAGGAGGAACACCGGUGGCGAAGGCGGGUCUCUGGGCCGUAACUGACGCUGAGGAGCGAAAGCAUGGGGAGCGAACAGG
rnacentral:rRNA from 1 species